GCCGCCUUAGCUCAAUGGUAGAGCAGCCGCUUCGUAAGUGGCAGGUUGCGGGUUCGAGUCCCUCAGGCGGCUCCA
rnacentral:tRNA from 1 species